rnacentral:rRNA from 1 species
CCCUUAGAUGUUCUAGGCCGCACGCGCGCUACACUGAUGCAUUCAACAAGCCUAGCCUUGACCGAGAGGUCCGGGUAAUCUUUGAAACUGCAUCGUGAUGGGGCUAGAUUAUUGCAAUUAUUAAUCUUCAACGAGGAAUGCCUAGUAAGCGUGAUUCAUCAAAUCGCGUUGAUUACGUCCCUGCCCUUUGUACACACCGCCCGUCGCUCCUACCGAUUGAAUGUGUUGGUGAGGAGCUCGGAUUGGCAGCAGUUGGUGGUUCGCCACCGGCUAUUGCUGAGAAGUCCUCCAAACCGCCCCAUUUAGAGGAAGGAGAAGUCGUAACA